rnacentral:rRNA from 1 species
UAAAAAGCUCGUAGUUGGAUUUCUGUUAAUACUUAUAUACAAUACCCCGGUAUUUAUAUAGUAUUAACAUAAUUCAUAUUACUAAUUUUUAGUAUAUGAAACUUUACUUUGAGAAAAUUAGAGUGCUUAAAGCAGGCAAUUGCCUUGAAUACUCCAGCAUGGAAUAAUAUUAAGGAUUUUUAUCCUUCUUAUUGGUUCUAGGAUAAAAAUAAUGAUUAAUAGGGACAGUUGGGGGCAUUUGUAUUUAACAGUCAGAGGUGAAAUUCUUAGAUUUGUUAAAGACAAACUAGUGCGAAAGCAUUUGCCAAGGAUGUUUUCAUUAAUCAAGAACGAAAGUUAGGGGAUCGAAGACGAUCAGAUACCGUCGUAGUCUUAACCAUAAACUAUGCCGACUAGAGAUGAAAGUGA